UACAGAGGUGGCAAGCGUUGUUCGGAAUUACUGGGCGUAAGGGCGGCGUAGGCGGCCAUCUAAGUCAGACGUGAAAUCCCCCGGCUUAACCUGGGAACUGCGUCUGAUACUGGAAGGCUCGAGUUUGGGAGAGGGAUGCAGAAUUCCAGGUGUAGCGGUGAAAUGCGUAGAUAUCUGGAGGAAUACCGGUGGCGAAGGCGGCAUCCUGGACCAACACUGACGCUGAGGCGCGAAAGCUAGGGGAGCAAACGGGG
rnacentral:rRNA from 1 species